GACGAACGCUGGCGGCGUGCUUAACACAUGCAAGUCGAACGGAAAGGCCCUGCUUUUGUGGGGUGCUCGAGUGGCGAACGGGUGAGUAACACGUGAGUAACCUGCCCUUGACUUUGGGAUAACUUCAGGAAACUGGGGCUAAUACCGGAUAGGAGCUCCUGCUGCAUGGUGGGGGUUGGAAAGUUUCGGCGGUUGGGGAUGGACUCGCGGCUUAUCAGCUUGUUGGUGGGGUAGUGGCUUACCCAGGCUUUGGCGGGUAGCCGGCCUGGGUGGGUGACCGGCAACAUUGGGACUGAGAUACGGCCCAGACUCCUACGGGAGGCAGCAGUGGGGAAUAUUGCACAAUGGGCGGAAGCCUGAUGCAGCAACGCCGCGUGCGGGAUGACGGCCUUCGGGUUGUAAACCGCUUUCGCCUGUGACGAAGCGUGAGUGACGGUAAUGGGUAAAGAAGCACCGGCUAACUACGUG
rnacentral:rRNA from 1 species